rnacentral:rRNA from 1 species
GUUGAACGCUGGCGGAAUGCUUUACACAUGCAAGUCGAACGGCAGCACGGACUUCGGUCUGGUGGCGAGUGGCGAACGGGUGAGUAAUAUAUCGGAACGUGCCCAGUCGUGGGGGAUAACGUAGUGAAAAUUACGCUAAUACCGCAUACGAUCUAUGGAUGAAAGCGGGGGAUCGCAAGACCUCGCGCGAUUGGAGCGGCCGAUAUCAGAUUAGGUAGUUGGUGAGGUAAAGGCUCACCAAGCCAACGAUCUGUAGCUGGUCUGAGAGGACGACCAACCGCACUGGGACUGAGACACGGCCCAGACUCCUACGGGAGGCAGCAGUGGGGAAUUUUGAACAAUGGACGCAAGUCUGAUCCAGCCAUUCCGCGUGCAGGACUAAGGCCUUCGGGUUGUAAACUGCUUUUGUACAGAACGAAAAGGUCUCUAUUAAUACUAGGGGCUCAUGACGGUACUGUAAGAAUAAGCACCGGCUAACUACGUGCCAGCCGCCGCCGUAA